rnacentral:rRNA from 1 species
GAUGAACGCUGGCGGCGUGCCUAAUACAUGCAAGUCGAGCGAACAGACGAGGAGCUUGCUCCUCUGACGUUAGCGGCGGACGGGUGAGUAACACGUGGAUAACCUACCUAUAAGACUGGGAUAACUUCGGGAAACCGGAGCUAAUACCGGAUAAUAUAUUGAACCGCAUGGUUCAAUAGUGAAAGACGGUUUUGCUGUCACUUAUAGAUGGAUCCGCGCCGCAUUAUCUAGUUGGUAAGGUAACGGCUUACCAAGGCAACGAUGCGUAGCCGACCUGAGAGGGUGAUCGGCCACACUGGAACUGAGACACGGUCCAGACUCCUACGGGAGGCAGCAGUAGGGAAUCUUCCGCAAAGGGCGAAAGCUUGACGGAGCAACGCCGCGUGAGUGAUGAAGGUCUUCGGAUCGUAAAACUCUGUUAUUAGGGAAGAACAAAUGUGUAAGUAACUAUGCACGUCUUGACGGUACCUAAUCAGAAAGCCACGGCUAACUACGUG